UAUUGCACAAUGGGGGAAACCCUGAUGCAGCGACGCCGCGUGAGCGAUGAAGUAUUUCGGUAUGUAAAGCUCUAUCAGCAGGGAAGAAAAUGACGGUACCUGACUGAGAAGCCCCGGCUAACUACGUGCCAGCAGCCGCGGUAAUACGUAGGGGGCAAGCGUUAUCCGGAUUUACUGGGUGUAAAGGGAGCGUAGACGGCCGUGCAAGCCAGAUGUGAAAGCCCGGGGCUCAACCCCAGGACUGCAUUGGAAACUGUGAGGCUAGAGUGUCGGAGAGGCAGGCGGAAUUCCUAGUGUAGCGGUGAAAUGCGUAGAUAUUAGGAGGAACACCAGUGGCGAAGGCGGCCUGCUGGACGAUGACUGACGCUGAGGCUCGAAAGCGUGGGGAGCAAACAGG
rnacentral:rRNA from 1 species